GGAAGGGUCGCAUAGUUGGUCUAGUGCGCCACACUCGAAAUGUGGUGAGGCUGCAAAGCCUCCGUGGGUUCGAAUCCCACCCCUUCCGCCA
rnacentral:tRNA from 1 species